rnacentral:rRNA from 1 species
GACGAACGCUGGCGGCGUGCCUAAUACAUGCAAGUAGAACGCUGAAGAGAGGAGCUUGCUCUUCUUGGAUGAGUUGCGAACGGGUGAGUAACGCGUAGGUAACCUGCCUUGUAGCGGGGGAUAACUAUUGGAAACGAUAGCUAAUACCGCAUAACAAUGGAUGACACAUGUCAUUUAUUUGAAAGGGGCAAUUGCUCCACUACAAGAUGGACCUGCGUUGUAUUAGCUAGUAGGUGAGGUAAUGGCUCACCUAGGCGACGAUACAUAGCCGACCUGAGAGGGUGAUCGGCCACACUGGGACUGAGACACGGCCCAGACUCCUACGGGAGGCAGCAGUAGGGAAUCUUCGGCAAUGGGGGCACCCCUGACCGAGCAACGCCGCGUGAGUGAAGAAGGUUUUCGGAUCGUAAAGCUCUGUUGUAAGUCAAGAACGGGUGUGAGAGUGGAAAGUUCACACUGUGACGGUAGCUUACCAGAAAGGGACGGCUAACUACGUG